UCUGGUGCUUUCAAUUUUUUGAUUUUAGAUCAACUAAUCAUUUCUUUGAAUUAAUAUAAUUAGUAACCUGUAGGGACCACUCAAUCUUAGGGAUAUUAUUUAAUCUUAGGGGGGACCGNCCGUUAAACUUGCAAUCGGCUCACCACGGCCGUUAAAAUUAUUGAUUUUGAGCCCCUUCGAUUACUAGGCAAAUGAUAUCGAAAAAUCGCAAAAUUUAUUUUCUUGGUACUUCAAAUACUCUAGAUCAACUGUAACGGAGCCGAUCGUCGAUUCGAAAGCCCGAACAUCAAAAACGACUUGGAAGCACGAAAGCCUCCGUGCUUCCAUAAGCAUACCAGCACAACUCUAUAUCUAUACUAUAUAUAAAAGCGUAUAGAAAUUUCGACAAUGACAGACGGAAUCCAAAAAUGAAUAAAUUAAUAUUUCCUACGAAUGGUUAUGAUUAAUUUGUUAAAAAUAUUUCAAAUAAAAACGAACGGUUAUGGCCAAUCUAUUAAAAAAUAUCUCAAAUAAAAAUGAACGGUUAUGAUCAAUUUAUUAAAUCUCUAUUAUAUAUAAAAAUCUAUUCCCUACAAAUGAUUAUGAUUAAUUUGUUAAAAAAAUAUCUCAAAUAAGAAUAGUUAGGAUCAAUCUAUUAAAAAAUAGUAUUCCUAUCCAUCUAUAAAUUCAAUUCUACGAACGAUUAUAAUCAAUUUGUUAAAAAAUAUCGCUUAUGAUCAAUUUGUUAAAAAAUAAUUUUUUUUUUCAUCUAUUUUACAUUAAAAUUAAAAUUUGAGUUUAAAUUAUGAAUUAAAUUUAAUUUUCGAUAUCAAAUUUGAAUUAAUAAUUAAAUUUUUUAUUAUAUUGGAUCAAAAUUAAAUUUUAAAUUUUAAAGUAAAUGUGAAUUAAAUUUUGAUGCUUUUAAUUUAAAAUAUAUAUUUAAAUUUGAUUCAUCAAAAAACAAGAAGUAUAUAAAAAUGUUUGAUGUAUAUAAAAAAUAGAACAUUGUAGGAUAUUGUAAAUAUUGUUUAAUAAAAUAUAACAUAUUAAUUUAUAAAUAUAAUUUUUAUUGUAAAAUUUUGGAUUUAUAUAAUAUACAAAUUUAUAUUAAUUUGAAAUAAAUUAUAAUAAUUAUUACGUGCAUUUGCACGUAUAUUCAACUAGUAUAUAUAUAUAUAUAUUAAAANCAUAAUCGCACAUCCUUUCAUCAAAUGACUAUAUAUAUAUAUUAAAAAAUAUAUAAAUAUAAUAUAUUUUAAUUAUAUGUAGGUUGAAUGAAUAAUCUGAAUUUAGUUAAAAUUGGGCCAGUAUUGUUGGCCCAUAAAAACAAACCAAAUAGAUAAAUAAAAGAGCAAAAUUUUACUAAAUUUAUACAUUUUUCCUUUCUUUCUUUCUUUCAUAUAGCUCUAAAUUUUCAAUAUAUUUCUCUCUUUCUCUUUUUCUGUCUCUCACCCUAUGUGGCCAAGCCAGAAGCCCUCCAAGUUACCAAAUAGCAGCAUAUGCCUGCCGUUGCUUAUCUUGCUAUUAAUUGUAUGCUUGAGAAUAUAUACAGAAUAUUUUUAAAGUAAAAAAUUAUUAUUCAUAUAAAAUUUUAAUUUUAGUUAUAUAUGAUUGGAUAGUUUAAUCCAAUAUUUAUCUAUAUAUAUAAUUUAUUUAUUUUUGACUGCAUAAAUGAAAAUAAAUAUAUAUGGAGAUUGAAGGCGGAAGAAAAGACACGUGAGACUAAAAAGAUUAGAUAUUCAACUCAUAAAUUUUUUUUUUCAUAUUAUAAUACUAUAUUUUAUAUAAUUAUUUUAUACUUUGAACUAUUAGACAUAAUUUUGUAUCAAAUUAUAAAUAAUGUUCUAUACAAAUUAAACUAUUGAUCGUAUGAUGUUGAGAAUUACAAGCGGCUCGUUUAGGGCUCGAGCUCGUUUAGGGCUCGAGCUCGCUCGACUCGAAAUUAGGCUCGCUCGAGCUCGGCUCGAAUUAAUUUCAAUCCAAGCUUGAACUUAAAUUUAGGCUCGAAAUUAAUUUCAAGCCGAAUUUGAGCCGAGAUAAGCUCGCUCGAGCUCGGCUCGUUUCCACCCCUAGCUCUAAGUAGAUCAACCAUUUGGACAAAUUAAACUAAUGAGAUCCAUGCCACUCGAUCGUCACUGAGGUCGUUUGGUUAGAAUUAAUUACAAAUAUAGUGUAAUUACAGAUGCAUGCAGUUAAAAGGCAGUAGUUGCAAUUAUAUGUAUUCUGUUUGGUUGGAUAUAGUAGAAAGUGCUGUAACUAUAAACAAUUUGGUUGGUUGCAUACAGUUCAGAAAUAAUUUUUAAACAAAAGGUUACUCUCUCCAACUGCCGCAGUUGGAACUAACGCCAAUUUGGAUAUAGUUUCAACUAUUGCAGUUGGUUCUCCUCUUGUAGUUUCUAUUAUCGCAGUUGAAGUUAAAUAUAUCGAAUCCAAUGCUAAAUUUGAAUUUACAUAUAAUUACAACUGCAGUGCAGUUGCAAUUACAUACAACAAAAUAGUUCUUUAAAUAAAUUAAAAUAAAUUAUAAGUUAGUGGAUUUAUUACUUAAAAUAUGUGCAAAUUUAACCUACCAUGCAUACAAGAUUAUUUAUAUAUAUAUUUUUUUGUCUUGAUGAAUUUGUUGAAAACAAAUAGAAAUAUUAUCACGCUUUGUAGUCGAAUAAUUCGUUAUUUGUAAAUAUCAAUCUUCUUAUGCUUCAUUUGGAAUUGUGGGGAGAUUGCGUUACGAGCAGUGAGAAAGUACGUUGUAAAGAUACCCUGUUUGUUUCCGUACGUAAUAUUGCGUUCGGCAUAUCGUGAUGAGUCGGUUACGAUAUAUUUUCUGUGGUCCCAUCGGAGAACGUAGAAACAUAUCUCUAUAUAUUUUUUCCUCAACUCCAUUUUAUCUAAUAGCGUUAGAUAGGUCUCAGUACCAAACUAAGCCUUAAUCUCGGUUGGUGGCAUAAUUUGGCAGUUAGUGUACCUGAUAUUGAUUUAAAACUUAAUUACUGGAAAUCCAAUUUUCAUUUGUUGCCAAGUAAAAU
rnacentral:lncRNA from 1 species